UAAACCUCCAUAUGAAUGCUAUCCCUAGUCCCUACCUCGGCCCUCACUCGUUGGCAGAGGCAUCAGUGAUUGCUCGGGACGGGAGGAGAGAGGCUGAGUGACAGCACCGGAGAGAGAAAGGGGGUAGUGAGUAAAUGCUGUGUUAAGUUGGUCGGUAGUUUGGUCGUGGGGUCCCAAGCCCUGCUCUCUCUCUCUCUCUCUCCCGAGCAUCAUCCAUGAGUAGAGGAGAACCAGCAACGAAUUAUAUUACUGUGUGGUGAAAGACUAGCUGUGCGCGAUGUCAUUCACGUGUCAGAACUCCCAGAAUCAACAAGCAAGCCCUUAGGAUCCUUAAUCCUUCCUAAGCCGACUUUCAUCUGCAUUCCACGAGUGUGCCAGGACUCCUCAAGCAAAGGACUCUCGUUGCCUUGCCCACUUCGUCGCCAGAGCCGGGAAGAGAACACCAUGGGUGAGAAAGGGCAGUUCCGCCGUCAUAUUCCCGCCGUGAAACUCUGGUUCGUGCUGUGUCUGACGCUCGCAUUUUCGGUGGUCCUGUUGGCUGCAGCCCAUCUGACGCACUCUCUCACACUCAGGGUGGAGGCCUAUCAUGCGCUCUAUAAUCGCUUUCACUCACAGGGUGCUUGCUCACCAUGAAGUUAUGUUCCCGACCUGAGUCGCUACACAACACCUUCGGAUGGGCAAGACUGGAAGUUCUGUCCAUGCUUACUACACUCAUCUUCCUCACGGCAC